rnacentral:rRNA from 1 species
CACGUAGGCACCAAGCGUUGUCCGGAUUUAUUGGGCGUAAAGAGCUCGUAGGCGGUUCAGUAAGUCGGGUGUGAAAACUUUGGGCUUAACCCAAAGCGUGCAUCCGAUACUGCUGUGACUUGAGUACGGUAGGGGAGCGGGGAAUUCCUAGUGUAGCGGUGAAAUGCGCAGAUAUUAGGAGGAACACCGGUGGCGAAGGCGCCGGCUACUGGGCCGAAACUGACGCGUGAGGAAGCGAAAGGCGUGGGGAGCAA